rnacentral:sRNA from 1 species
AGUGAAUUACAUUUGAAGUUAAAUUUCUUUUUUAUCGUUUUUUAACGAUUAAAAAAAAUGUAGCUAAAAGCGGGAAGUAGC